ACCAAUAGCUAAUGAAAACCAGGAGAUCAUGGAUUUGGUGGAACCAUCUACCCCUCUCCCCUCUUGGCUAACCGAGGAAGAUCUUGCUGAAUAUGGAGCCUUGUAUGAGAAAUCUGGAUUCCAAACUGCAUUGCAGAUUCCAUAUAGGUGCUGUCAUUUUUCUUUAUUGUCUAUUUUAGUGAAAUGAUGUCUUACUAUAAAGCAUAGUCCCUUCUCCCUUGGCCUCUCAGAUUUUUCUAAUAUAUAGGUCAAUUAUUGUUAAUGGUAGAUCUGUUGGUAUUUGUAGGUCAUUUGGUGGAAAUUUUGACUUACCAGAUCCUGUACUCAAAGUUCCAUCACUUCUUAUAAUGGGUGGCAAGGAUUAUGUUAUCAAGUUUCCAGGGUUUGAGGAUUUAACAAAGGGUGAAAUGGCGAAACAGUUUGCUACUAAUCUGGAGAUUACAUUUAUCCCUGAGGGAUCCCAUUUUGUUCAAGAACAAUUUCCUGCACAAGUGAAUCAGCUUAUCCUUGCCUUCCUUGCCAAGCACACUUGAUUUUGAACUUUCAAGUCAAAAUUUACUCAUAAAUGGUUUAUGAGGAGUGUGAAGUGUUCACGGUAGGAGUUAAGAUAAAUAAGAUAAUAAAGUAUCUCAUUAUACUAGUAGAUAAUUUAUAGCUCUUGAAAAACGAUUUGAAUCUAGCUGGACAUUCAACAAUGUUUUAUUUAUUCAUUUUCUUUUGACUUGGCUUCUUUAUUUCUUCUUCUUCACUCACUCCCUCCCUUUCUUCAUGGUGACUGGCAAUGUUGGGUGAGGCGUUAAGGGGGAGGUGAUGGUGGGUGAGAAUGGACAGAGAUCAUGUAUCCUCAAUGAUAUUUCAUUCUCUAUCUUGGUCCAGUUACACAUUGUGACAUGAAUAAAAGAAAAAUUUUAAAAACAAAAAAAAGUAAUGUUUUGAUUAGUUUGGGAUAUGAAGUAUUACACCCUCGAGAAUACGAGAUCUUUAUUCACGGUAACAUUUUGCAUCUAACGUUAAGAAGUGACUCAAAAUGGAUGGACUAAUAUUUAAAAAAUAACUAAUUCAAUUCAAAAUCCAUAAAUCUAGAGAACAAAAAGUAAAAUCAACUUUAAUUUGUACAUCCGAAAAUGAAAAAAAAAUCAUAAAGUGGUCUUAUAUAAAUCUUUGAAAGUAGAAGACAAAAUCCAAACUUAGUGACAUACAAACCUUUAGAUUUAACUAAAAUGAAUGAAUGAGAUCAAUACUAACUCUAGAAGUAGCUUCUUGAUCCCUUCUCUUAAAAUAAAUCAGACAACGUCAAGGAGAUAAGACAAGAGUAUCUUGGAUUUAGAUUGUCUAACAUAAGUUUUCUAUAAUUUUGUAACACCCUCUUUUAUGAAAUAAGUUAGAAACUUAAAACAAAUCUGCCAUACACAAUAAGUAACUUAUUGAUCCUUUCUCUUGAAAAAUAUAUUUCAUAGGCAAUGUCAUAUUGAGAUAUGAGUAUAUGACAACUUUUAGAGUAAAUAACAUCUUCAUUCUUAUUUGGAUCUUGCACAUUGUUUUAUAAUUUAUUAUAAUUCCUCAUGAAAUAAAAAAGAACAUCAAUUUUUCUCACGUUGACAAACAUCAUUCUUGUCUAACCAACGGACGUUGGUUCAAGUGGUACAUAUUUGAUUCCCCUUAAGCAAGGUCUCGGGUUCGAGUCUUGUGGAUGAAAAAAAUAUUCGCUGGGAGAGUUAGUCUCACGUACCUGUGGAUGUUCCCAGCUCGGACAGGAUUGACUCCAAUGCGAGAAUACCUAGAGGAAACAAAUGAUUAGUUCCUUAACAAGGUAAUACAAAAAAAACUUAAUUUCUUUAUUAUAUUAAUUUGUUACUACAAUCAAACAAGAUGCAACUUGGUAAUUACAACAGCAACACACAAAAAAAUUUAAUUUCUUUCUUAUAUUAAUUUGUUACUACAAUCAAACAAGAUGCAAUUUAAUAAUUACAAUAGCAACACAAAGAAAAAAUUUAAUUUCUUUCUUAUAUUAAUUUGUUACUACAAUCAAACAAGAAGCAACUUGGUAAUUACAACAGCUACACAAAGGAAGAAAGGUCAAUAGAUAAGUACCACAUAAUAAUACACAAAACACAAUAUGAAAUAAUACUUUUAUAUUUUUAUUUAUUAUAAAAUCACAUUUUUAUUAUUGAAAAAUAUGAAAUAAAAUAACUUGUUUCUGUUAAUGGUGAAGAUACUUAUUCUGACUGUUGUGUAUUUAACAUUGAAAGAGAGAAGACACAGUGUCUCACUCCAACAACUGAAUCAAUGGAUCAAAUCCAACACAAGUUCGUCAAAGUUGAUUCUCUCAACCUCCACAUAGCUGAUAUCGGAACCGGUGAGUAAGAGAAUCCACCGCAUGCAAAUUCAUUUCAUUUUAUUCUAUCAAUCAAAAUCUCACGGUUGUUUCCGAUCGGUUUUUCAGGUCCGAACGUGGUGGUGUUUCUGCACGGGUUUCCAGAGAUAUGGUACUCAUGGCGUUACCAGAUGAUAGCUCUUGCUGAAGCUGGAUUCAGAGCGAUUGCACCAGAUUAUAGAGGAUAUGGUCUUUCUGACUCGCCACCUCAGCCUGAUAAGGCUAACUUCUCUGAUCUUCUCACUGACCUUCUUGGAAUUCUUGAUGCGCUCUCUCUUUCUAAGGUGUCCUUUACUUCAUCAUCACAUAUUUCUCCAACAUUUAAACUAAGUGUAAUAUUUAUACAUGUUACUGAAUCACAUAUUUACCAUUUAUGUUUUGUGUCUGAAAUUCUGAAUUAUGGAUAAUACAGUAAUGGUGUAUAAUGUAUAAAUCUUUAUAUUUUAUGCACAAUUCCUAUAUCAUCCUUGCAAUUCAUGAUGCACUCUCUUUCCAAGGUUCUACUUUGUGUCCUUUACUUCAUCACAUGUUCCGUCAAGAUUUAAAUUACAACCCAACCAAAUCAAAUUGUGAAUGUCAGAAAUUAUUACAUAGUUCACGAACAAACCCUCAUCAUUUAUUUAAUAAUUUUAAAAUUGUAUGAGUUUAUUCCAAAUCAAUGGUAAAUAUGAUAGUAUUGGACUAUUGGUGAUGACUACGUAAUAAUUUCUCCUUCUACACUGUGGACUCUGCAUUGCCGUAUUGUAUAUUUUUUGUUGUAAGUUUAAGGAGAAAUUAUUGUACGGUCCAUGAUCAAUGGUAUCAACCACAUAUUAGUAUAUUACCAUUGUGAACUCAAAAUAUAAUUUUGCUUAAUUUUUCCACAGAUAUCUUUAAUUCAAUGAUGAGUAUGUGUGGAAGCAAAGUCAUGUAGAAUGUAGUUAUGUUUGCCUCUUUAAGUGAAAUACAUGAUUCAUUGUUUCAAGUGUGAUUGAUCUUCUCCUCAUGCUCAUUGUGUUGCAUAUUGCAAUGUCAGUGUCAUAGAAGGAUUGAUUGAGCGCAUAUAAAGAUAUGCUUAUUUGAUGCUUAAUUUAUUCCUGUCCUGAUUGCACGCUAGGUUUUUCUUGUUGGAAAAGAUUUUGGAGCUCUUCCGGCGCAUCUGUUUUCCAUUAUGCACCCUGAAAGGGUCUUGGGAGUUGUUACUCUGGGAGUUCCAUAUGUUCCACCUAGCCUCUCUAAGUAUGACAAAUACUAUCCUGACGGCUUCUACAUAUUGAGAUGGAGGGUAAGCUUAAAAUUCUUUGAUUCUAAUCUCAACCAUAAUGUCUAGUAACAUAAUCAUGAUUUUGUAUGUGUCUAUAUCAGAUACCUGGGAGGGCAGAAGCCGAUUUUGGACGUUUUGAUGCGAAGACUGUUGUGAAAAGGGUAUACAUCCUCUUCUCCGGUAGCGAGUUACCAAUAGCUAAUGAAAACCAGGAGAUCAUGGAUUUGGUGGAACCAUCUACCCCUCUCCCCUCUUGGCUAACCGAGGAAGAUCUUGCUGAAUAUGGAGCCUUGUAUGAGAAAUCUGGAUUCCAAACUGCAUUGCAGAUUCCAUAUAGG
rnacentral:lncRNA from 1 species